rnacentral:rRNA from 1 species
UCAGGACGAACGCUGGCGGCGUGCUUAACACAUGCAAGUCGAGCGGAAAGGCCCUUUCGGGGGUACUCGAGCGGCGAACGGGUGAGUAACACGUGAGUAACCUGCCCUUCACUCUGGGAUAAGCCUGGGAAACCGGGUCUAAUACCGGAUACGACACGUCCCCGCAUGGGGUGCGUGUGGAAAGUUUUUUCGGUGGGGGAUGGGCUCGCGGCCUAUCAGCUUGUUGGUGGGGUAGUGGCCUACCAAGGCGACGACGGGUAGCCGGCCUGAGAGGGCGACCGGCCACACUGGGACUGAGACACGGCCCAGACUCCUACGGGAGGCAGCAGUGGGGAAUAUUGCGCAAUGGGCGGAAGCCUGACGCAGCGACGCCGCGUGGGGGAUGACGGCCUUCGGGUUGUAAACCUCUUUCAGCGGGGACGAAGAUGACGUGUACCCGCAGAAGAAGCGCCGGCUAACUACGUGCCAGCAGCCGCGGUAAUACGUAGGGCGCGAGCGUUGUCCGGAAUUAUUGGGCGUAAAGAGCUCGUAGGUGGCUUGUCGCGUCGGGUGUGAAAGCGUGGGGCUUAACUCCAGGUCUGCAUCCGAUACGGGCUGGCUAGAGGUAGGUAGGGGAGAACGGAAUUCCUGGUGUAGCGGUGAAAUGCGCAGAUAUCAGGAGGAACACCGGUGGCGAAGGCGGUUCUCUGGGC